rnacentral:rRNA from 1 species
UACGUAGGGUGCAAGCGUUUGUCCGGAAUUAUUGGGCGUAAAGAGCGUGUAGGCGGCCCGAUUAGUCCGCUGUGAAAGUCCAGGGCUCAACCCCUGGAAUGCCGGUGGAUACUGUCGGGCUAGAGUCCGGAAGGGGCGAGUGGAAUUCCUGGUGUAGCGGUGGAAGUGACGCAGAUAUCAGGAAGAACACCAACGGCGAAGGCAGCUCGCUGGGACGGUACUGACGCUGAGACGCGAAAGCGUGGGGAGCGAACAGG